rnacentral:rRNA from 1 species
AAACCAGCACCUCAAGUGGUCAGGAUGAUUAUUGGGCCUAAAGCAUCCGUAGCCGGCUCUGUAAGUUUUCGGUUAAAUCUGUACGCUCAACGUACAGGCUGCUGGGAAUACUGCAGAGCUAGGGAGUGGGAGAGGUAGACGGUACUCGGGAGGAAGUGGUAAAAUGCUUUGAUCUAUUGAUGACCACCUGUGGCGAAGGCGGUCUACCAGAACACGUUCGACGGUGAGGGAUGAAAGCUGGGGGAGCAAACCGGAUUAGAUACCCGAGUAGUCC